rnacentral:rRNA from 1 species
AGUGAACGCUGGCGGCAGGCCUAACACAUGCAAGUCGAGCGGCAGCGCGGGGGCAACCCUGGCGGCGAGCGGCGGACGGGUGAGGAAUUCGUCGGAAUCUGCCUUCUUGUGGGGGAUAACGUAGGGAAACUUACGCUAAUACCGCAUACGUCCUACGGGAGAAAGUGGGGGACCGCAAGGCCUCACGCAGAAAGAUGAGCCGACGACCGAUUAGCUAGUUGGUGGGGUAAAGGCCCACCAAGGCGACGAUCGGUAGCUGGUCUGAGAGGAUGAUCAGCCACACUGGGACUGAGACACGGCCCAGACUCCUACGGGAGGCAGCAGUGGGGAAUAUUGGACAAUGGGCGCAAGCCUGACCCAGCCAUGCCGCGUGUGUGAAGAAGGCCUUCGGGUUGUAAAGCACUUUUGUCCGGAAAGAAAUCCCUGGAGCUAAUACCUUCGGGGGAUGACGGUACCGGAAGAAUAAGCACCGGCUAACUUCGUG